UAUUUCUGUUUCAUUUCAGCACGAGAUCGCUAUCGUCACCGAAGAGGGCGUGGAGAUCCUCGGACCCCUGUCUUCUGAAACCAACUGGGACAUAGCCCACAUGGUCAGCGGGUUUGAAUGAAGAGAAGUGGCAGCGGUCUCAGCAUCACUAACAAACCCUUCUCCUCCUGUUUGCUCCAGUUUACUCUGUACUUUCUCUUUUGUAUGAUGGAAAAUAAAUGUAAGAAAUAAAGAGAGCUGUUUUCCUUGG